rnacentral:rRNA from 1 species
ACGUACACUCCUACGGGAGGCAGCAGUGAGGAAUAUUGGACAAUGGGUGGAAGCCUGAUCCAGCCAUCCCGCGUGCAGGAAGACGGCCCUAUGGGUUGUAAACUGCUUUUAUCUGGGGAUAAACCUACUUACGUGUAAGUAGCUGAAGGUACCAGAAGAAUAAGCACCGGCUAACUCCGUGCCAGCAGCCGCGGUAAUACGGAGGGUGCAAGCGUUAUCCGGAUUUAUUGGGUUUAAAGGGUCCGUAGGCGGACUGAUAAGUCAGUGGUGAAAUCCGACAGCUUAACUGUCGAACUGCCAUUGAUACUGUUAGUCUUGAGUAAGGUUGAAGUGGCUGGAAUAAGUAGUGUAGCGGUGAAAUGCAUAGAUAUUACUUAGAACACCAAUUGCGAAGGCAGGUCACUAAGUCUUAACUGACGCUGAUGGACGAAAGCGUGGGGAGCGAACAGGAUUAGAAACCCGAGUAGUCCCAUG